UGGGGAAUAUUGCACAAUGGGCGCAAGCCUGAUGCAGCCAUGCCGCGUGUGUGAAGAAGGCCUUCGGGUUGUAAAGCACUUUCAGCGGGGAGGAAGGCGAUAAGGUUAAUAACCUUGUCGAUUGACGUUACCCGCAGAAGAAGCACCGGCUAACUCCGUGCCAGCAGCCGCGGUAAUACGGAGGGUGCAAGCGUUAAUCGGAAUUACUGGGCGUAAAGCGCACGCAGGCGGUCUGUCAAGUCGGAUGUGAAAUCCCCGGGCUUAACCUGGGAACUGCAUUCGAAACUGGCAGGCUAGAGUCUUGUAGAGGGGGGUAGAAUUCCAGGUGUAGCGGUGAAAUGCGUAGAGAUCUGGAGGAAGACCGGUGGCGAAGGCGGCCCCCUGGACAAAGACUGACGCUCAGGUGCGAAAGCGUGGGGAGCAAACAGG
rnacentral:rRNA from 1 species